UCCUCUUUCUCUCUAGGUCUUAGUUGUUAUAAAUUUCUGAGUUUGAUUCCACAUUUGCUCUUUCUUCUUCACAUUUUUGGGUUUGUUUUCAUAAUUGAACUUUGUGUUCUCAUUUUCUGGGAUUGUUUUCAAGAUUGUUCUUGGUGUUCCUAUUUUCUGGGUUACUAACCUACUAAAUUUGAGUUUUGAGUUUCUCAUUCCCAGGAAACAAGAUGUCUUCAAGAAUUCCUUAACCCAGAAGGAAGAGCCUCUCAAGAGCACAACGAGAAGCUCUUCACAGCCAAUCCGCUGAAGAAAUUGCAAGAAAUUUCUUGACAGUCCAAGCCACCGGAGCUAGACUCGAUCGGGUCAGAAGUGGGAGAAGAGAAGCCCGAACUCGGACCUUAUCAUGUGUCUCAUAGAUGGUGUUAUUAAAUAUAGAAAAAUUUCUUGUGGUGUUGGUUUGUGUCGAUUACUUGUGACGUGCACAAUACAGACAAUACAUUGCUGAUGAAUGAAUAAUAACC
rnacentral:lncRNA from 1 species